rnacentral:rRNA from 1 species
CCUACGGGGGGCAGCAGUGGGGAAUAUUGCACAAUGGGGGAAACCCUGAUGCAGCGACGCCGCGUGAGUGAAGAAGUAAUUCGUUACGUAAAGCUCUAUCAGCAGGGAAGAAAAUGACGGUACCUGAGUAAGAAUCCCCGGCUAACUACGUGCCAGCAGCCGCGGUAAUACGUAGGGGGCAAGCGUGAUCCGGAUUUACUGGGAGUAAAGUGAGCGUAGACGGUGCGCCAAGUCUGGAGUGAAAUGCCGCCGCUUAACGGCGGAACUGCUUUGGAAACUGGCGAACUAGAGUGCGUGAGGGGUAAGCGGAAUUCCUAGUGUAGCGGUGAAAUGCGUAGAUAUUAGGAGGAACACCGGUGGCGAAGGCGACUUACUGGACCGUAACUGACGUUGAGGCUCGAAAGCGUGGGGAGCAAACAGGAUUAGAUACCCCUGUAGUC